UACGUAGGGUGCAAGCGUUAAUCGGAAUUACUGGGCGUAAAGCGUGCGCAGGCGGUUGGAUAAGACAGGUGUGAAAUUCCCGGGCUCAACCUGGGAACUGCAUUUGUGACUGUUCGACUAGAGUGCGGCAGAGGGGAGUGGAAUUCCGCGUGUAGCAGUGAAAUGCGUAGAUAUGCGGAGGAACACCGAUGGCGAAGGCAACUCCCUGGGCCUGCACUGACGCUCAUGCGCGAAAGCUAGGGGAGCAAAC
rnacentral:rRNA from 1 species